rnacentral:ncRNA from 1 species
AAACUCUGGAGAAGCUCCGCCCGUGUCCCUUGGCGGAGUGCCGAAGGUGCAAGGCCGCAAGGCCGAAUCUCUCAGGCAAAAGGACAGAGUG